rnacentral:rRNA from 1 species
GACGGAGGAGGCAAGCGUUAUCCGGAUUCAUUGGGUUUAAAGGGUGCGUAGGCGGAAUAGUAAGUCAGUGGUGAAAUCCUACAGCUUAACUGUAGAACUGCCAUUGAUACUGCUAUUCUUGAGUGCAGUUGAGGUAGCUGGAAUGUGUGGUGUAGCGGUGAAAUGCUUAGAUAUCACACAGAACACCGAUUGCGAAGGCAGGUUACUAAACUGUAACUGACGCUGAGGCACGAAAGCGUGGGGAGCAAACAGG